rnacentral:rRNA from 1 species
AGCCACAGCCAUAUCACCCUGCAGCCCAAGACCGGUUACUCACUGAAGCUAAGCAGGGCAGAGCCUGGUUAGUACCUGGAUGGGAGACCACUAGGGAACACUAGGUUGCUGUUGGAA